AGUGAACGCUGGCGGCGUGCCUAAUACAUGCAAGUCGAACGAUGAAGUCCUAGCUUGCUAGGAUGGAUUAGUGGCGCACGGGUGAGUAAUAUAUAGUUAAUCUGCCCUACACAGAGGAACAACAGUUGGAAACGACUGCUAAUACCUCAUACUCCUAUUUGACAUAAGUUAAAUAGGGAAAGUCUUUUCGGUGUAGGAUGAGGCUAUAUCGUAUCAGCUAGUUGGUAAGGUAAUGGCUUACCAAGACUAUGACGCGUAACUGGUCUGAGAGGAUGAUCAGUCACAUUGGAACUGAGACACGGUCCAAACUCCUACGGGAGGCAGCAGUAAGGAAUAUUGCGCAAUGGGGGAAACCCUGACGCAGCAACGCCGCGUGGAGGAUGACACUUUUCGGAGCGUAAACUCCUUUUAUCAGGAAAGAAUAAUGACGGUACCUGAUGAAUAAGCACCGGCUAACUCCGUG
rnacentral:rRNA from 1 species